rnacentral:rRNA from 1 species
AUGCGGUAUGACGGUACCCUUUCGAAUAAGAGGUUGCUAACUCUGUGCCAGCAGCAGCGGUAAUACAGAGACCUCGAGCGUUAUCCGGAUUUACUGGGCGUAAAGCGUCUGUAGGGGGUUUGUUAAGUUCCAAGUAAAAUCUUAAGGCUCAACUUUAAGUUCGCUUGGAAAACUAAUAAACUGGAGUCCAGCAGAGGUGCAUGGAACUUGCGGUGUAGGAGUGAAAUCCGUUGAUAUCGCAAGGAACACCAAAGGCGAAGGCAUUGCACUGGGCUGGUACUGACCCUGAGAGACGAAAGCGUGGGGAGCAAAACGGAUUAGAUACCCGUGUAGUCCACGCCGUAAACGAUGGAUACUAGAUGUUCGGGGAUUCGACCCCCUGGGUGUCACAGCUAACGCGUUAAGUAUCCCGCCUGGGAAGUACGGCCGCAAGGCUAAAACUCAAAGGAAUAGACGGGGAUCCGCACAAGCGGUGGAGCGUCUGGUUUAAUUUGAUAGUAAGCAAUGGACCUCACCAAGGUUUGACAUCCUAUGACAACCCUGGAAACAGGGCUUCCUUCGGGCAUAGUGACAGGUGCUGCAUGGUCGUCGUCAGUUCGUGCCGUGAGGUGUUCCGUUAAGUCGGGAAACGAACGAAACCCUCGUCGCAUGUUACAAAUUUCAUGCGAGACUGCCCGGGUCAACCGGGAGGAAGGCGGGGAUGACGUCAGAUCAGCAUGGCCCUUAUACCUUGGGCCACACAGGCGCUACAAUGGCCGGUACAAAGGGUUGCAAAACCGCGAGGUGAAGCUAAUCCCAUAAAGCCGGUCCAAGUUCGGAUUGGAGGCUGCAACUCGCCUCCAUGAAGUUGGAAUCGCUAGUAAUCGUGGAUCAGCCAUACCACGGUGAAUACGUUCCCGGAUCUUGUACUCACCGCCCGUCACACCAAGAGAGUUGGUAGCUCCU